rnacentral:rRNA from 1 species
UCUGGUCCUUGUGUGCCCGCCGCCGCGGUAAUACGGCCGGUCCGGGCGUUAUCCGGAUUUAUUGGGUUUAAAGGGAGCGUAGGCCGGAGAUUAAGCGUGUUGUGAAAUGUAGACGCUCAACGUCUGCACUGCAGCGCGAACUGGUUUCCUUGAGUACGCACAAAGUGGGCGGAAUUCGUGGUGUAGCGGUGAAAUGCUUAGAUAUCACGAAGAACUCCGAUUGCGAAGGCAGCUCACUGGAGCGCAACUGACGCUGAAGCUCGAAAGUGCGGGUAUCGAACAGG